rnacentral:rRNA from 1 species
GUAAACCCAAGGUUUCCAGGGGAAGGUUCGUCCGCCCUGGGUUAGUCGGGACCUAAGCUGAGGCCGAGAGGCGUAGGGGAUGGACAACAGGUUGAUAUUCCUGUACUACCGAUAACCGUUUGAGAGAUGGGAUGACACAGUAGGAUAAGCUAAGCACACUGUUGGUUAUGUGUGCCCAAGCAUUGAGGCAGUCAAAGUAGGCAAAUCCGCUUUGAUAAUGCUGGGAUGUGAUGGGGAGCGAAAUUUAGUAGCGAA